CCCUUCCUUCCUAUAUCUUCUCGACCCAACUUUUCUCUAGAUGCUUCCCCACCGUUUCAGACUUUAAACCCACCUUUUCGACUCAUGCUCUCACCGCCUCCCUCAUCGCCUCACUCUUCUCUGCACCAAGCCGCUCGAUUUAGGAAGGGCUUCACCAUUUCUCUUCAAUCGAGGUCUCUAUUUCUGGAUCUUUCUUUUGCUUUCGCCUAUUCUCUCUCGCAUAUCUCCAUUUGCUUUGUUUCUGGCCGUCCUUUUUUCUCCACUUUCGCUUCUGUUUUCUUCAUCGUGUUACUUCAUUGUUCAAAACGCGGGCCAUUUUGCUUAGUUGUUCUUCGAUUAGUGGUCACAGUUGUUAAUUUCUCUGCCUUUUUGGUUCGAUUCCAAUAAUUUUUUGGGUUUUUGGUUCGUUGAAUCCGGGUUUUCCAAAAAUUUUGUGCCCAUCUUGGGUUCGCUUCGAACUUGGUUGCGAUCGAUCUAAUCCGGCGUUUCCAGAUUCGGGAAACAGUCCCUUUCAGAUUUUGGAUUUUCGAUUCUGAUUCUUGGAACUCUCUGUGCUAAAGGUACAGAUAAUGGUCUGGACUUUGAAGGAAGCUUGCUUUGUGUUGGAAGUACGUUGAUGUCUUGAGCUCCCAUCGAAAUCUUUGAUAUCACUCCUCAUAGUUUGGUAGAAAGAAAAUGCCGGAGCCGCAGCAGAACGGGCAGUCCACUGCUGGAGCUGUGAGUAAUGGGAGUAGUAAUUCCUGUGUGGCAGCAAAUGGGAAUAUGUGAAGAGAAAACUGACUUGGCCAUCUAUGAGCAAUUUCAAUACCAGGACGAAUUCUAGGAUGGAGGUGGAAAUAUUUGGAAGAAUCAGAUGUGCCUAUUCAUUUGCAAGGUGAUUGUUUUACAGCUUAAAAUACCGUGCAAAUUUAUUUCACUAACAUUGCAUUGGUUUUUUAAUUUGAUAUGUUGUUUUGGUGUGUGAAAAUCGAAGAACUUUUAGAUGUUUGCAAAUUUGGUUGACACUUAAGUGGAAUUCAUUUUGGUCAAGGCAUUGGUUUGUGGCCAGUUGGAAUUCAUUUUGCUAAAAUAAGAUAAAUCUCUUUUUGCAGCCUGCAAUUGGCUUUCAAUUAGAGAACUGUACAAGGUUUUUUUUUUUUUUUUGUUCUUUGACCAAAGCUUUAAGAGCUUUGUAUUAACAGAGUCCUAAGAGAUUCCUUGGAUUAUUUUGCUUGAG